rnacentral:rRNA from 1 species
UGGGGAAUCUUGCGCAAUGGACGAAAGUCUGACGCAGCCACGCCGCGUGAGUGAAGAAGGCCUUCGGGUUGUAAAGCUCUGUCGGAAGGGACGAACAUCUUGGGGGUGAAUAGCCCCCAGGACUGACGGUACCUUCAAAGGAAGCACCGGCUAACUCUGUGCCAGCAGCCGCGGUAAUACAGAGGGUGCAAGCGUUGCUCGGAAUCAUUGGGCGUAAAGGGUAGGUAGGUGGUCUCAUUUGUCUGGGGUGAAAGCCCAGGGCUUAACCCUGGAAGUGCCCCGGAAACGGUGAGACUAGAGUCCUGGAGAGGGUCGUGGAAUUCCCGGUGUAGCGGUGAAAUGCGUAGAGAUCGGGAGGAACACCAGAGGCGAAGGCGGCGACCUGGACAGGUACUGACACUCAACUACGAAAGCGUGGGGAGCAAACAGGAUUAGAUACCCCUGUAGUCC